rnacentral:rRNA from 1 species
GAUGAACGCUGGCGGCGUGCCUAAUACAUGCAAGUCGAGCGGACAGACGAGGCGCUUGCUCCUCUGACGUUAGCGGCGGACGGGUGAGUAACACGUGGAUAACCUACCUAUAAGACUGGGAUAACUUCGGGAAACCGGAGCUAAUACCGGAUAAUAUCUUGAACCGCAUGGUUCAAUAGUGAAAGACGGUUUUGCUGUCUCUUCUAGAUGGAUCCGCGCCGCAUUAGCUAGUUGGGAGGGUAACGGCUUAGCAAGGCAACGAUGCGUAGCCGACCUGAGAGGCUGGUCGGCGGCACUGGAACGUGAACACGGUCCAGACUCCUACGGGAGGCAGCAGUAGGGAACGUGCCGCAGUGGGCGGAAGCCUUACGGAGCAACGCCGCGUGAGAUAUGAAGGUCUUCGGAUCGGAAAACUCUGUUAUGAGGGAAGAACAAAUGUGUAAGUAGCUAUGCACGUCUUGACGGUACCUAAUCAGAAAGCCACGGCUAACUACGUG